GAGGUGGGAGGAUCCCUUGGGCCCAGGAGGUUGAGGCUGCAAUGAGCUGUGAUCACAGCACUGCACUCCAGCCUGAGUGACAGAGCAAGACCUUGUCUCA
ensembl:miRNA